UAUUCGACAUUUGAAAAGUUACUGUCAUAUUUCUUUGAAACAACGACUUAAAGUCAAUAAAUAAGUAAAAAUGGCAAAUAAAAGUAAUUAUAGAAGAGUUAUUGCUUCGAUUCGAGAAUUUUUCCAACAUGUAGGCCGUCAAUUAACAUGGCGAGACAUUGUCGUUUGUAUGGCUGCAUUUGCUAUGGGAUUUCUUGGAGCAUGGAUUGAUAACUAUUUCGAGAGAAUUAAUCCUGAGGAAGGAAACCACUGAUUACAGAAGACCCAGCUGAACUAAAUAUUUAAAAACAUAAAGGACACAUCUUUCAAAAUUAAUAUAAAUACAAAAUUGUUGCAAAUAUCAAUGUCUUAUCUUCAAAAAAUACUAUUUUUCUUUUGCUUUCAUUAGUUGCUCAUGUAUGAAUCUACAAUAUCUUUAACAGCUGUGGAAAAAUAAAAAACAACUCUCAAAUUUA